AUGAACGCUGGCGGCGUGCCUAAUACAUGCAAGUCGAGCGAACAGACGAGGAGCUUGCUCCUCUGACGUUAGCGGCGGACGGGUGAGUAACACGUGGAUAACCUACCUAUAAGACUGGGAUAACUUCGGGAAACCGGAGCUAAUACCGGAUAAUAUAUUGAACCGCAUGGUUCAAUAGUGAAAGACGGUUUUGCUGUCACUUAUAGAUGGGUCCGCGCCGCAUUAGCUAGUUGGUAAGGUAACGGCUUACCAAGGCGACGAUGCGUAGCCGACCUGAGAGGGUGAUCGGCCACACUGGAACUGAGACACGGUCCAGACUCCUACGGGAGGCAGCAGUAGGGAAUCUUCCGCAAUGGGCGAAAGCCUGACGGAGCAACGCCGCGUGAGUGAUGAAGGUCUUCGGAUCGUAAAACUCUGUUAUUAGGGAAGAACAAAUGUGUAAGUAACUAUGCACGUCUUGACGGUACCUAAUCAGAAAGCCACGGCUAACUACGUG
rnacentral:rRNA from 1 species